CAGGUCAAACCUCUCUGAAGGCCCAGGUCAUAAGAGUACUGCCGCACCUCCACACUCUCUACACACACACACACACACAGGUCAUAAGAGUACUGCCGCACUUCCACACUCUCUACACA